GAUGAACGCUGGCGGCGUGCCUAAUACAUGCAGGUCGAGCGAACAGACGAGGAGCUUGCUCCUCUGACGUUAGCGGCGGACGGGUGAGUAACACGUGGAUAACCUACCUAUAAGACUGGGAUAACUUCGGGAAACCGGAGCUAAUACCGGAUAAUAUAUUGAACCGCAUGGUUCAAUAGUGAAAGACGGUUUUGCUGUCACUUAUAGAUGGAUCCGCGCCGCAUUAGCUAGUUGGUAAGGUAACGGCUUACCAAGGCAACGAUGCGUAGCCGACCUGAGAGGGUGAUCGGCCACACUGGAACUGAGACACGGUCCAGACUCCUACGGGAGGCAGCAGUAGGGAAUCUUCCGCAAUGGGCGAAAGCCUGACGGAGCAACGCCGCGUGAGUGAUGAAGGUCUUCGGAUCGUAAAACUCUGUUAUUAGGGAAGAACAAAUGUGUAAGUAACUAUGCACGUCUUGACGGUACUUAAUCAGAAAGCCACGGCUAACUACGUG
rnacentral:rRNA from 1 species